rnacentral:sRNA from 1 species
GGGAUUCCUUAUCUGUGUCUGAUUCAUUGAAUUAUCUGGAGCCUGUCUCUCUGGACUCUGCGUUGCAAAGCUCAGGGAGACAGGCCCAUCGUUAUACCCAACCUGCUGACGUG